CGGCAAGGCGCUGCACACCCGGCGGGCGGAGAUCCGGGUGCAGUUCCGGAGCGUGCCGGGGAACCUGUACCGGCGGAGCGUCGGGACGGACCCGGACACGGCGACCAACGAGCUGGUGCUCCGGGUGCAGCCCGACGAGGCCAUCUACCUCAAGAUCAACAACAAGGUGCCGGGGCUCGGGAUGCGGCUCGACCGCAGCAACCUCAACCUGCUCUACUCCGAGCGAUACCGCCGGGAGAUCCCCGACGCGUACGAGCGGCUGCUGCUGGACGCCAUCGAGGGGGAGCGCCGCCUCUUCAUCCGGAGCGACGAGCUCGACGCGGCAUGGGCCAUCUUCACGCCCGUGCUCAG
rnacentral:lncRNA from 1 species